GACUUAGUGACAAUACUCAAAUACUAUAUGUGCUGAUGUAGGGGGACAUCUAGUGGUGAAUGCCUGACACAACAAAUAAUCUUGAGUGUUGCAUUGUUGACUGACUGAAUGAACUGAGUCUGACCGAGGUGUCUGUGUGUUACAGAAUUAUAUAAUGACCCCUGAUCUUGACCCUUCACCUUUGACCUCUCUUACCCAGACCCUAAGAACGGGGCAUGGCAAAUCAUCACCGGCUCAAUUUCUGAACUCUUGCUGAAGGUGACAGAAGAGAACAAUUUACUUCAGACUGUAAGAUUAGAAUGACAACGGAAGGAGAGUCUUAGCAAGACUCGUCGCUUCAAGGUCAGAGAGCUCCAUGUAUACAGUAAAGAGAGACGAAGAAGAGAUGAGGAAGAGACAACCCAGAUGGAGGUACUGAGAACAAAGACCUGACAUGUGUCCCCUCUGGUGGACAGAGGAGGACCAUUAGUAGAUCCAGGAUUGAUCUUGCUGACCCCUGACCUUAUGAUGAACGUCGAGUGGAAGACAACACCAGAUGUAGGGAACACACAUGUAUCCUAGUUUAAGGGGUGUGUUAUACAAGUAGAGAAUGGGUUACAUAAAGGCAACACUAACUUACUGUUAUAUAUGAUUGAGAUUACUGUAACCGGGAUACACAUUUGUGUACAAAAUCUGUGAUUGUUUAAUCAUAUAUACUAUUAUUAUUUGGGUCAUUC